CUGCAUAGGCUCUUCUCUCUGCGGCGUCGGAAAAAACAUUUUAUUUCUUCAGCCGGCUGCCCGCUCUUGGUAUUAACUUGCAGCAGCAGCCAGCAGAGUGUGCUGUGAACGCUGCGAAAAGGACGUGCUGCUUCUGGGAAUUGAAAAAAAAAAAAAAUAUAUAUAUAUAUAUCUCUGUCGUCAAACGCAGACGAAGACAUUUUAGGCGGUUCAAAUAUUUGCAUGAGCGGUAGGCAGUUCCUGCUGUCAAGUAAAAUAGCCCUCUUGUCACGGAUCACAGAACCUCUUCCUUAAACAUGAACAACCAAGCCCUACUAAACUGUAUGCUUCCAGCAAGAUUGCUCUGCAGUGUUUGCAUAAAGCUGGAAAAGCGCCACAGUGAACAUGUCCAAGAGUCAAGGAGAAGGGUCUAUAACACGAGGUAUUCAGUAGAUGAAAACAUAAAUUGUGGUCCUGGCCUACGGGAAGCAGCUUAUGAAAUGGCACAGUAUGAGCACAUGUUUCUCCAGGCUCUUCCCCUCGGACUUACUGACGGUGCAGUUACAAAGAGGUUAAUAAAUACAUUUCAAAUAAGUAAAAUAAAAGUAGUUCAAAGCAAAGCCUUUACUAGAUGACUUGCAAAUCAAAUUGUUUGCUUGAAAAGCAAACACACGUAUGUCUGGACUCCUUAUUUUAUGCUAAUGCCAGUCUUUUCUCCCUUGUUCUGUGGGAGUGGGAAUUCAGGGAAGAGUGAACUUUAGAGUUGUGCUUGGGGGUUAACAAAUAGUUCUGUAUUAUUCACAAACCAAAACCAAAACUGCGUCAAAGUGAAGACCCUGUGUAAGGGUUUUUUUCCAAGGGCAGAACGACUUGGUUACUAAUCAGGCAAACUGGAAUUAGGAUUAAAAGGAAGCCAGAAGAUACAAACAAAAGCAAAUUCAGAGGCAAGGCACUCAAGCGAAAUUGACACUGGAUCGCAGCUAUCUGUGCAGUGCAACUAGUGCAUUAUGAAGUGAAACUGUUUUAGAAGCAUACUAGAGGUUUUCUUCUAUUUCUCAGGGUCAGUCUGGCUGGGUAAUCACAGGAGAAUAUUCUCCCCGGGUCUGCUUCAGGCUAGAAUGAAUCACAUACAGUGCUCCUAAUUUUCAUGGUCAUGGGAAGGUAAUAAAGCUAACAGCUAUGCAUUAGCAAGGGGUUACAAACUAUCUCAUAUGCUCUCCUCUGGUCAUGCGAUAAUGCUCAUGUUUAAUAUUAAACCCACAGGGCUUAGUGGGGGCACAUGAGUUAAUAAUAGUGGUAUCUGUGUUCUAGAUAGUUUUUCAGGUGCUGUAUGCCAAGUAAUACUUGAUAUUACUUGGCUGUUGGUAACCGUGUAUUAAAAAGUAGCUGUCGUUAAUUGGCAAGUGUAGACAUGCAUUAUUUCAUAGCCACAGAGAACAGCAUCAGUGAGUAGUUGUGCGCAGGGAGGCAGCUAUGCAGUGCUUGACAACUCAUCACUCUUAGAGGAAAGGAUGAGCAGCAGAAUGAAAAUGUUUGCUGACUCUACAAAACUUUUUUAAGGUAGCAGAGGUGAGGGUCAUCUACAAAGAAUGUGGGUGACUAGGCAGUAAAAAAAGUCGAUUAAAUACCGGGUAGAUAAAUGCAGGAUGAUGCAUGUGCAGAAACCAAGUCCUAACUUUACAUAAAUGAUAGCGAUACCUGAACUGGUUGCUGCUACAGGGGAGCGAGACUUUGCAUAUGUGUGGCCUGCAUAAACAUCAGUUUGGUGUUUGGAAAAGCAAAGCACAUUUUAAGGAAAGGGACAAGGAACAAAACAGGGACCUAUUUAUGACACUCCACAAAUCCACGCUGAGCUCGUGCCAGGAGCACUGUGCCUGGUCAGGUUUCCUGCUUCUUGGGAAAUACUGGAACUGGAAAAGGAUAGCAAGGAUGCUCAGCUGCCUGUCUUUAUGUCCCGUGAAACAACUGAGUAGGCUUGGGGUUUUCACUCAGAAGAAUUUACUUACGGAGGAUGUGCCUGAGGCCUGUCACAUCCUAAGUAACUUGGAGAGGGUGAAUGGCAUUUGACUCUUUGAGCAGAAAUCAUCAGAUCUGCGGUGGUGGGAGCCAGGCUCUAACCAAACAAGAGAGGUGGUUCUUUGUGCAGUGACAUGGGGUUGGAUGUGUGCUGUGCCUUUCAGAACGACACCAUGGGCACAGGGUGUCGCGCUGGGGUGCAGGAGAGGUUGGCCAAAUGUUUGGAAGAAGGCUGUGUUGAGAGUUCGUGAACAAACACCCCCUCAGGCUCAGGAAAUCCCCAGAGCUGAAAGCAGUUGGAGGCUGUGGGAGUGUUGCAGAGGAGGUACCAUAUAUUUGCCUUGUUUUUUCCUCCUCCUUUGAUGUUUGCCGGUGGCCUGUGGUGGAAACAGGACGUUGGACUGAAUGGGUUCUUCACCCAAGGCAGUACACCUCUUCCUCCUCAGUAUUCACAGCUAAUCACACUGUAACUGAUGCUUAAACACCUGGAGCCACAUAAUAACGUGUAAGCCUGUGUCAUGGGGUCUUUCACACCAGAUUCUAUGCUCAUCUAUACCAGGAUUUACUUACAGAGCAUCUGCUGUGCUGUGUAUUUCCACUUCACCUCACGAUACAGUUAUUUUUCCAUGUCCACAAAGCCUUGAUAGCAGUCUGCAUACACUUGCAUUGCAGUUGCACACCUAUAACCAAACCACUUUUUUGUGCUGCCUCGGUAAAAAUAUUCACUCCAUGAGAAACAGAUCUAACAGUGUCCUACUUUUCUGUGGGGUUGUCUUUUGAAGGGAGCAGCUGUGGAGCAAAGUUUCUUUACUGCUCUCCCCCCUCUCCCUCUGCUUCUCCCUCUCCCUCUGCCUCUCCCUCUGUUCGAUGGUUUGGGUAACAGCAUCAGUUUUAGCCACAUUUGAAUUCUGUAGCAGCAUCUGACCAGCCAAUGCAGACAGGCUGUUGGCUGCUGCCUCUUAGCAUGACUAAGACGUUGGAUUUUGUCCAAUGAUUUCAAAUGGUUUUAAGGGAGAGAACAGUUCACUUGCAUUCUCAAGGGUGAGAAGCAAAAUAUACCAUGCCCUUUGCAAUUAUAUUUCCAUCAGGUUUUUAGUCUGAUACACCCAUUUCUUACGUUACCUUAAAUAAAUAAGUGGCAAAGUAUUGCUGUCUUCUUGGUGAAAAAGAAGCAUGUGACCUAUGAAAAACGAAGGGAACUUGUUAAAACCGGAGAGUACACCUGCUUGGAUUUGAAUGUUCUCUUUCUGAAUUCAGCUAUAGCCCAUGGAUCAGAGAUAUGCGGUGAAUCAUCCUGUCGGACAGAAUGGGACACGCAGAGUAAAUUAAGUUUGUCAUCUCUCUGUGAGAUUUUCUCAUUUGCUCACUACCUGUAGGAGGGGAUUUUCAUAGUAAUGUGACCUGUCUUCAUGCUCCAUUUAUCAUCUCCCAAUUGAUGUAUAUAAUCUUGGUUGAACAGAUAGAUAAUGGAGGAAACACGUAAAGUGUUGAAUGCUUGAGCAACAGAUCUGAAAAGAACAGGUAGGCAAGGACUGAAGUGCAAAUGUUUAAAGACAAAAAUUGGCAUUCUUCCCUGACAGGAGAUCUUAAUGCAAGUUUGUUAUUAUAUUCUUGUUGCAGGAGAUGUGAAAUUACAAUGUAAGUAUCUUUCAUUUACUAGCAUUGUACAUGACUUUUCUGUUUUAUUACUUUUACUGAAUAGGACUUUAAUAUGUUUUCUUUUAAUAUCAAUAGAAAAUAUUGGUUUCACAUCUGUGAACAGGAAAAUGUCAAGCAUGAUGAAAAAAUGCUGCUUUUUACUCUUUCAGAGAUCACCACAAAGCUGGCUGCACACCUUUGUUGUUGUUGAUUGGCAAUCCAGAAAGACAAAUCCUCUUGCACUAUUUUACCAGGAAAAUCACCUUUCUUUUCCAUGCACAAGAAGAAUGCGAAACUGUGGCAAAACAAGCAUGUUCUGUAACUGCGGCCUAGCAGCCUUUGGCAAUUCGAUAUCUUCAGUACAAAGAAUAAAAACAUUGUAGGAAAGUAUGCAUUUUUUCCUGAAGCUAAGGUACUGGGAGGUUUUUCUUGCCCCACUAAUGGCUGGUGGAGGAGAUGGUGUGGAAAUGGGUCUGAAGACCUGUCUCAAGUGUCAGGAAGUUCAACUUUUGGGGUCUCGGGGCUUUUUUCCCAAACACGUGAGGCUUGUCGUGUGGAUUAUUCACAUACCACGUAAGAAGGAUGUGUGUGUUGGCAGAUUUUUCCCCCCUUCUCAGUAUUCCUGACUGACCGGUUAUUUAAUCCAUGCGAGAAUCUUUCCUGUAGCAACUUAGAAGCAUUAAGAAACUUUGUCUAAUUUUUUAGUCAUUUUUUCUUUCUAUUAAAAGGAUCUCAGGCAUUUCUGAGACAGAAAACCAGUACAUCAUCUGUUAUACUAAUCUCCGAGACAUGAGAUGUAGCCGUAUUGAUGGUGAAAGGUUGAGUGUUCUGGAGAAAAGUGUAAAAUUCUGGUCUUCCUGAAGUGUUUAAGGAGCUGGGGAAUCCAUACUAUAAAGGGAUUCUUCUUAUGAUUGCUUCCAAGUCAGCCUGAAUUUUUCCUGUAUGCAGAGUAGCUGGAACAGAAAGCUGUGAAACAGCUGACAAAGUCUGCUGUAGCAAGAAAAUAUGUCCCAGUUACCAAGAUUUAAGCAAGAUGUAUCUGUUCCGGUACUCGCCAGUCUCUGCAAAACAUUUUCGUGCCAUUGUCCACAGGUCUGAUUGUAUCUCCUGCAGAAUUUGGCUUCCUAGUGUUAGCUGCAAUCGUGUGAUGAGAAGUCCAUCUUGCAGUGCUGCACCUCCAGCCCCCUGUCCUGCUCAGGAGAGACACCACCAGGAACUGCAGCCAGUUCAGUGUGAUGAAGCACAGAAGGAGAAGGAUGAUGUGGAGUUGAUCUUAGUGACUGGACCAUGCAUUGUAGGUCCACACCAGCCAGCCUGCAAGGGAAAUAUGGAGCCAACUAGGAAUGCAGGACCAGUGGGAGGUACCUCUGAGGGACUAUGCUGUCAACAGCAUGUGAAUCUUGAACGUAAUCUGAAUGUAUCCUCUCAACAUGAUCAGCAAAUAACUUCUGAUCAGGGUCUUCACUUGCUACCUGGAUUCCUUCAGUUCAUUCUUUUUUUUGUCUCUGGGGUUUUGUUUUCUCUAGGGGAGAACUUGGCUUGGUAUGGCCUGAAAGAAUAGCAGUGACCAUAAUGAUUUAACAUGCAGAUUUAAUUGAUUUCUCUCUUGGAACAGGGAAAAGUGGGUUCCAAAGGUUUUAAUACCCCUGGUUUAGUUGAAACUGUUAAUGAGUGAAGGAAAAUGAAAAGAGUUCCUGAUGCCUCUAACUUCUUUCUUACAGGUUUGAGACAUACACUACAUUCCUGUGUUAAUUCCCCUUCAUCCAAAUGUUCCUGGUUAUUCUGUUCAGAUCAGACUUUCACACAGCAGCAGCAAGCUUUUCUGAGAAAACAAGAAAACCAGUUGGCGAAGUCCUGGCAACGUGUCAUGAAUUCAUUAACUUUUACUUCGAUGUCUACCAAAGUCCAAAAGUGCUACCGGUACAAAUCAUCUCCAGCAUCCAUGGACUUGGACUGUUUAUGUGCACUAGCCACUCCAUUUCUUCUCUGAGCAUUGUAAUUUCUCAUGGUACAUUCAAAAGCACUGAAUGCUUUAUCCCAAUUUCUUUAUUUUCUGAGUCUGUCUCUCCCGUUGUCCAUAGGAUUGGUCUCCUGGAACAUUUUAGUGCUGUGACACACAGCCUCAGUUUCUGCUGUAAUACCAUGAUAAUUUAAAUACUUGCAUUUUUUCUUUCAUCAUUUCAUUAAUUCACUUGAUACUGUGAAACUUGAUUUCUUGCCACUGCUUACCUUUCCCAAAGUGAUCCCUCCAAAUCACACACUGCAGUAAACUUCUGUACAACACAAAAUUAUCUUAACUUAGGCAGAAUCCUGCUUUUAAAGUUUCUCACACACAACAUCAAUCCUCUUGACUCAUAUGUUUAUGUGGCAAACCCCAGAGGACCUACCCAGUAAGUAGUAUGUUCUCAUAGUAGCAAAUAACAAGAACUUUACUUGAUAAAUUAAUCAUGCAAUAGAAUAAUUAAAUAAAGACCAGUGUGAUACUAAUAUGA